UUUUUCACAACAGCUUUUCUUCCUGUGCAAAAUCAUCAAGUCACCCAGCAUCAGACCCCCAAAACAACACAGGGAUCAACAACAUAUUCAACACAACUUUUCUCUACAAUCACAGCUGCAACAGAGACACAAAGAAUAUGGCUUAUCAUAGCCAGCCAAGCCAUAACUCUGACGGGUCUUGCGCUCAUCUGUCUGUGCUUUUUCAUCAAAAAGAAACCAGGAACAAAAAGCUUCGAGUUAUCUGAAGUGCACUACGUAGAAGUAAUUCAGGGGAGCUCAUUAAGUCAAGGAGACAGCAUCGCUGAUGUCCUUUCAUGUUGAUGAGAUUUCUUUCAUUUAUUCUUAUUUUAGGUCUCCUUUACUUUUUUACUUCCUUUAUAACUGUUGCAUGUAAAUCACUGAGAAAAACACAACAGCAGUGUCCAGAAUCAAUGUAUAUGAUUUGAUAUGAUUUUAAUGCAGGCAUUUUAAUUGAACCAUAAUA